CACAGAAGGGCCACAUAUGUGCACACAUUCCUGGAUAUUUUUAGGUUUUUUUUAUAGGCUCCAAAGUUCUAACUGCUUUUUCACUCUGUGCUUUGUGGCCGCUGCUGGGAGAUGUUCCUGCCAAAGCUGCCAAGGGUCUGAUGGAAGGGGGCCUGGCCCGGGAAGGCUCCCCGAAGUUGCUCUGAGCGAUCCUGGAUGCUGCAUGGCUUCAGUCCCUGAGGCCUCUCUGGCCACUAAGAGGAAACAAACCACUGCCAGUGGCUCAGAUGGUAAAUAAUCUGCCUGCAACGCAGGAGACCUGGGUUCGAUCCCUAUGUUGGGAAGAUCCCCCGGAGAAGGGAGUGGCUACCCACUCUAGUAUUCUUGCCUGAAGAAUUCCAUGGAUAGAGGAGCCUGGCAGGCUACAGUCCAUAGCAUCGCAAAGCGUCAGACACGACUGAGCGAUGAAUUUCCAUCAUCAUAACAACCGACUCCUCAAAACCUUCAGUGGUUUCCCAUUGGCCAGAUGGUACCAGUUCUCCAGACUGACUUUCAAGGCUGUCCACAGUCCAGGCCCUCAUAUCCAAAUGCUUUUGCCAAAGAAACGACCUUCUCUGUCUGGGUUAUUCAUAACAGGAGCACAUUCUGCUCAUGGUCAGCUUCACACCUUGGUCUGUCUCAUCCUGG
ensembl:lncRNA